rnacentral:piRNA from 1 species
UUUUAAAUUGUUGGCCAGAAUUACCUUGU